AGUGAACGCUGGCGGUAGGCCUAACACAUGCAAGUCGAACGGCAGCACAGUAAGAGCUUGCUCUUACGGGUGGCGAGUGGCGGACGGGUGAGGAAUAUAUCGGAAUCUACUUUUUCGUGGGGGAUAACGUAGGGAAACUUACGCUAAUACCGCAUACGACCUACGGGUGAAAGCAGGGGAUCUUCGGACCUUGCGCGAUUGAAUGAGCCGAUGUCGGAUUAGCUAGUUGGCGGGGUAAAGGCCCACCAAGGCGACGAUCCGUAGCUGGUCUGAGAGGAUGAUCGGCGGCACUGGAGCUGAGCCACCGUCCAGACUCCUGCGGGAGGCAGCAGUGGGGAAUAUUGGACAAUGGGCGCAAGCCUGAUCCAGCCAGACCGCGUGGGUGAAGAAGGCCUUCGGGUUGUAAAGCCCUUUUGUUGGGAAAGAAAAGCAGCAGGUUAAGACCCCGCUGUUCUGACGGUACCCAAAGAAUAAGCACCGGCUAACUUCGUG
rnacentral:rRNA from 1 species